CCAUCUUUCGUCAAAAAGUCUCACCGUGGAAACUCUUCUCUCGAAAACCCUUUUCUCCGCACCUUCUUCUCCGCGAACACCAAAUCCCCGAAAUCCAUCUUCUCUGCAGCCUCUUCUCCUUGGAUCUGGACGUCCGAGCACCGUACUCCUGGUACUGGUACUAGAGCAUUUGCACUCUCGACAAGGUGUAGUUUACCCUCGAGCGCACCGGGCAUGAGAACCCGCAUCCUGACGGCUCCCCUUUGCUACUCUCCUCGUCGUGGGCCAGCAAAACCUCCUCGACAAAGCAGAUGGCAGUGGGCGAUUAGGAGCCACUGCCCGCGGUGACAAUGGUCAUCGGCAAAUGCCUGGUUUGCUUCCUCUAUGUGCUUGUCUCGGCGAUGGCGCCGCGGUGCCACAUGUGUGAUGCACACGCGCCGGUCCACAGCAAGCCCAACAAGCGACACAAGUUUGAUGAUUCGUAUGUUUAUUUCUUUCGUUUGAGUUUUGAGCUAUAGAAGGUUCUUUCAAUUUGAUGGCAUUGAGAGUUUGGCAAAAUUUUUGUGAAUGGUUUGAAUGUGAGUACAAGUGUAAUAUUGGAGGUUUUUUGGAUUGAUUAUGGCAUCAAAAUCAAGCAUGUUGUUUGGCAUGUUUUGGUUUUUUUAGAUUGCAGAUUUAUAUUGGCAGUUUACUUUGUGUUUAUAAUGGUAUUCUCUGCAUGCUCUAUAGGAAAGAAUGUAUGUUGUCGGAUGGUUUUCUUAUGGAUUGGGAUUUCCUUGAGAUGUUUGUCGGACUUUAUAUUUCACGGAGGUUUUGUAUUGGAGGUUUUCUUUGUGCAUAUAUUGAUAUUCUUGCAUUAUUCCUUUUGGUGUUGGUGUUUCUGUUGGUUUGAAGGCAAAGCCUGGCAUGCUGUGGUUUUCUCAGCUUUCAGAUUUUGUUUGCUUUGGUGAUAUGAUGAAGCUUGGUGGAAUUUAUGCAAUGUUUUCUUUUGGAGCUUAUGACUAAGAUUGAAGAAGGUAGAGCAUUGGUAGAAGUGUGGUUUUUGUGAUGGUUUUGUGUUGAAAUUUGUGCUUGCUUGAAGAUGGUGGAGUUUGGAGAUUUUUUGGAUUGCAAGAUUCAUAUGAGAGGUCAUGCUUGGUGGGGACUUCAAGUUUGUUUCUAAAUGCGGUAAACACAAGGGCAGUUGCAUUAUUCUAGAAAAUGGAUAUUGACUCAUUGAAUAUCGAAGACUUUCUUGCAAUAGGUGUCAUAUUUUUUGCCACAGAUUUUGUCCGCACCUUGCAGAUUCUUAAUCAAGACAAAACACCUCUAUUAUAUAGCUUGGUAUUUGGCAAAGGAGUUGUUAAUGAUGCUAUAGCUGUUGUGCUCUUCAAUGCAAUUCAGAACUUUGUUCUUGUAUGGGCAUGUGUCUGUUAUUGUGGAGAUAUAAAAUUUAAACAAAGUCAAAGAUCCUAAAAGAAAGGUACACAAGUCUAUUAAAGGUGUAUUGAAAUUGGAGGUUGAAAAGCUUCAUACUUCACUGGUUGAUGUGGACAAUAUCUCUGACGGUGGAAACAUAAUCAUUGACUCAAAUGAUGAUGGUGAUCGAUUUACUGAAACUUCUUUAAGAAAGUAUCAUAGCAAUGGUCUUGAUAUCCCUAUCAUAGCAAUAGCUUGAUUUUUCUGGGUCAUCUAUACACUUUUAUAUCCAAUGCUCAAACAUAAAUGGCUUCCCUAGUCUCUACUUCUUCCAGUUGAGGUUUACAAGAUGAGUAAAGUUAAUCACUAGCAUUUGUCGGAUAUUUUAGUUAUUGCUUCAAUUUUUUUUCCCCAAAAAAACAUCAGCUACCAUAUAACUAUUUAGGUGAUCAGAAAAUGAACCUACCUAAUUUUCUCAUAAAAAUUAAUACACGUGAUUAGUAGAGCUAUUCAUUUUCUGAUCACCUAAAAAUUAUUUCUUAUUUAUGUUUGUGUUUUUCUUACUCAUGUUAAUAUCUUACCUUCCUUUCUUUGCAGUUAGAGGGCAUCAAGCUGAUCAAAUUUUAAUUGUAAAAGCACAGAAGGACUAGUCUCAUGAAUGUUUCCUUGUGAGAACCAAUGCAGCAAUCAGAAUCAAUGUGGAUUUUGAACUACUUGCACUACUUCAGAGAGGCAUAGAAGGAGAGGAAAGGCUUGUUAUUCAUAAUUUUUUUACCUUAUCAACCUGUAACACAAUUAUUCCUAUUAGAAAGAAAAUUAUGAUAUUUAUUUAUUUUUAUUUUUAUAUGCUUGUAACACAGUUAUGCCUUUAAUGA